rnacentral:lncRNA from 1 species
UUAUUCUUAACUUUAGCUAAAACAUCAAAUAACUCAACAACAUUCUUACCUGAAGCUAAAGCUUCAACAUCAUCAUCAUAAUCAUCACUUUCUUCCGAAUCUUCUUCAUCAGAAUCAUCAAUAUAACCUUUCUUCUUCAAUUCUUUUAAUCUCUGUAACUCUUCUCUUUUCUUAUUGUGUUCGUAUCGCUUUGCGAAUUCUUGGUUUGUUUCAAUUUUUGAUAUGUCUUCAAUGUCAUCUGUACCACCAAUGAACUGCCGAACUGGAGAAUGGAGAUGAAGAUUGAGUUAGAGAAGAAGAGGAGACGGGCAGAGACGGCUAGGUUUGCAG